rnacentral:lncRNA from 1 species
UUCUUUCUCUCGGUUCACACGCCACGUGUGCAACAUCGGAGAUGCUCAUAAAAUAACCCCUGGCCCGAAAGGGCAGUAGAAAACGGAAAUUUGUUGGCUGGCUUGGAGGAUGCUUCCACUGUGUUCUUCACACGAGCCCCGGGCCUGCCUGUUGGGCCGGUUGCGCACCCCGGGCGCGCGCUCUCCCGCGCCCACGCCGCGCGCACCAGCGGCGGCGGCUGCCAUGGCGACCCGCAGAAGCAGCAGCCGCAGCACCUGAGCCGCUACUGCCGCUCACUCAGGACAACGCUAUGGCUGAGCCUGGGCACAGCCACCAUCUCUCCGCCAGAGUCAGGGGAAGAACUGAGAGGCGCAUACCCCGGCUGUGGCGGCUGCUGCUCUGGGCUGGGACCGCCUUCCAGGUGACCCAGGGAACGGGACCGGAGCUUCAUGCCUGCAAAGAGUCUGAGUACCACUAUGAGUACACGGCGUGUGACAGCACGGGUUCCAGGUGGAGGGUCGCCGUGCCGCAUACCCCGGGCCUGUGCACCAGCCUGCCUGACCCCAUCAAGGGCACCGAGUGCU